rnacentral:sRNA from 1 species
AAAAAAGUGUGGGAUUUCAAGGGAUUAAGCUAAUAAAGGUGGUGAAUCCUUUACUAAGGGCAAAGAAAUUGUACCCGAGGAUCGGUAGUCAGAGUACUCUAGAAAUUCGACUCCUGAAAUAGCUCAGAAUAGGUUGUAGAUAGCUGAUUUCAUCGAGGCUAC